CCGCCGGAUCUCCGCCGUCGCCGCCGGUGACCGACACCGGUGACUCGCCGGCGACUCGCCAACUCGGCCGAGUCGACCCGGUGAGUCAACUCGGUUGACUCGGUUAACCGGUUGGUUAGCCGGUUUGAAUUGAUUUCAAUUCGGUUAGGCUAAACCGGUCGGUUUAAAUCAAUUGGAAAUCGAUUUGGAGUCCAUUUGAGCAGCUGGAGUUCAUAUAUACCACUUCUCUUCAUUGCUAAGGUGAGACCGACGAGCAGGAGUGAUUUUUCGGACCGGUGCUAUUGGGCUUUUGGGCUUCUAUCAUUUUAUCGAUUUUAUCGUUAUCGGGCCUCUAGGCCUUUGGACUUUUAUCGUUAUGGUAUUUCGUAUUUUGGAUUCUCGGUUUAUGUCGUACCUUAUGUUUCGGAUUUUAUUUUAUAUUAUGGAAUUCAUGCGUGGAUGUGGACUUUCAAAUAUUUAUAUAUGGAUAUUUCAGAUAUUUGUAUU